rnacentral:rRNA from 1 species
UGGGGAAUUUUGCACAAUGGGGGAAACCCUGAUGCAGCGACGCCGCGUGAUUUAGAAGGCCUUCGGGUUGUAAAAAUCUUUUCUAUGGGAAGAAAAUGACAGUACCAUAGGAAUAAGGACCGGCUAAUUACGUGCCAGCAGCCGCGGUAAUACGUAAGGUCCGAGCGUUGUCCGGAAUCAUUGGUCGUAAAGGGUACGUAGGCGGGUAAGCAAGUUAGAAGUGAAAUCCUAUAGCUCAACUAUAGUAAGCUUUUAAAACUGCUCAUCUUGUGGUAUGGAAGAGAAAGUGGAAUUCCUAGUGUGGCGGUGAAAUGCGCAGCUAUUAGGCGGAAUACCGGUGGCGAAGGCGACUUUCUGGCCAUAACCUAACGCUGAGGUACGAAAGCGUGGGUAGCAAACAGG